CGGUAAUACGGAGGGUGCAAGCGUUACUCGGAAUCACUGGGCGUAAAGGACGCGUAGGCGGUCCUGUAAGUCAGGUGUGAAAGCCCACGGCUCAACCGUGGAACUGCACUUGAAACUGCGGGGCUAGAGUCUGGGAGAGGCAGAUGGAAUUGGUGGUGUAGGGGUAAAAUCCGUAGAGAUCACCAGGAAUACCGAUGGCGAAGGCGAUCUGCUGGAACAGUACUGACGCUGAGGCGUGAAAGCGUGGGGAGCAAACAGGAUUAGAUACCCUGGUAGUCCACGCCCUAAACGAUGAAUGCUAGUCGUUGGGAUGCUUGUCAUCCCAGUGAUGCAGCUAACGCAAUAAGCAUUCCGCCUGGGGAGUACGGUCGCAAGAUUAAAACUCAAAGGAAUAGACGGGGACCCGCACAAGCGGUGGAGCAUGUGGUUUAAUUCGAAGAUACGCGAAGAACCUUACCUGGGCUUGACAUCCCACGAACCUUCCAGAGAUGGAAGGGUGCUACUUCGGUAGAGCGUGGUGACAGGUGCUGCACGGCUGUCGUCAGCUCGUGUCGUGAGAUGUUGGGUUAAGUCCCGCAACGAGCGCAACCCUCGUCCUUAGUUGCCAGCACUUGGGGUGGGCACUCUAAGGAGACUGCCUGGGUAACCAGGAGGAAGGUGAGGACGACGUCAAGUCAUCAUGGCCCUUAUGUCCAGGGCGACACACGUGCUACAAUGGCGUGUACAAUGAGAGGCGAUACCGCGAGGUGGAGCAAAUCUAUAAAACACGUCCCAGUUCGGAUUGCAGUCUGCAACUCGACUGCAUGAAGUUGGAAUCGCUAGUAAUCGUGAAUCAGCCAUGUCACGGUGAAUACGUUCCCGGG
rnacentral:rRNA from 1 species